rnacentral:rRNA from 1 species
UACGUAGGGUGCAAGCGUUAAUCGGAAUUACUGGGCGUAAAGCGUGCGCAGGCGGUUAUGUAAGUCAGAUGUGAAAUGCCCGGGCUUAACCUGGGAACUGCAUUUGUGACUGCAUGGCUAGAGUUUGGCAGAGGGGGGUAGAAUUCCACGUGUAGCAGUGAAAUGCGUAGAUAUGUGGAGGAACACCGAUGGCGAAGGCAGCCCCCUGGGUCAAGACUGACGCUCAUGCACGAAAGUGUGGGGAGCAAACAGG